UCUUCCAUCCAUACAUCAUCU
rnacentral:miRNA from 1 species